AACCCUCAUUUCAUCUUCCACAACAAGCUAGAGAGAGAGAGAGAAGACACAAGCCAUGGCUAGCAAAAACAUUGGAGCUCGAAUUUCUUGAUCAAAAAAUUCAGAUUUUCAAAGUAUUCCAACCAGUUAGGAAGGCUAUAAUAACGUGGAUUAGUCAUUUGGAGCAACAAAAACAAGUAUUAGUUCAUUUCACAACUUCUAGCCAAAUUAAAAAGCCAACUUGUUAAGGAUAAGUACCAUUGGGCAGCAAGUACAAAUAUAAUACGACUAAACGCAAAAGGUACAGACGCACAGUUUGGUGAUUCACCAGUUUAGGACACCUUCUUCUGCUGUUUGGAGUGCUCCUCUUAUUUUGGAGCCUACAUUUUGGUAUAUAUACUUGUUCGAUGCAUAUGUAUAUAUUUGUUCAGGGGUACGGCGGGGCCCUGUCCCGCCAUAUGUUUCUGUUGGUCUGUUUAGAGGUCUGUAGACGUAUUUGUGGGUGUGUGUGCCUACUUCUGUACGGGUGUGUUUGGUAUGAUCCCAUUCGUUAUGGCAGCCUUGUCGGCGUGCAUUCGUAUAUGUGUUUUGGGCCGUUGUGCCAUUUGAUAGCCUUGUCGGCUUUUGAUACAUUUGAUAGCCUUGUCGGCUUUUGGUACAUUUGAUAGCCUUGUCGGCUUUUGAUACAUUUGACAGCCUUGCCGGCUUUUUGAUAUAUGUAUAUACAUAUGGUUGUGUUUGAAA